rnacentral:rRNA from 1 species
UACGAAGGGGGCUAGCGUUGCUCGGAAUCACUGGGCGUAAAGCGCACGUAGGCGGAUCUUUAAGUCGGGGGUGAAAGCCCAGGGCUCAACCCUGGAAUUGCCUUCGAUACUGAAGAUCUCGAGACCGGAAGAGGUAAGUGGAACUGCGAGUGUAGAGGUGAAAUUCGUAGAUAUCCGCAAGAACACCAGUGGCGAAGGCGGCUUACUGGUCCGGUUCUGACGCUGAGGCGCGAAAGCGUGGGGAGCAAACAGG